GAUGAACGCUGGCGGCGUGCCUAAUACAUGCAAGUCGAGCGAAGCGGGGACGGGUGAGUAACACGUGGAUAACCUCCUAUAAGACUGGGUUAACUUCGGGAGACCGGAGCUACACCGGACGCUUAUAGAUGGAUCCGCGCUGCAGUAGCUAGUUGGUAAGGUAACGGCUUACCAAGGCAACGAUGCAUAGCCGACCUGUGAGGUGGCUAGGCCAACUGGGAACUGAGAAACGGCCCAUGCCCCUCGGGGAGGCAGAAGUAGGAAAUAUUCCGCAAUGGGCGAAAGCCGGACGGAGCAACGCCGGGUGAGUGAUGAAGGUCUUCGGAUCGUAAAACUCUGUGAUUAGGGAAGCGGUACCUAAUCAGAAGGCCCCGGAUAACUACGUGCCAGCAGCCGCGGUAAUC
rnacentral:rRNA from 1 species